GGUAAGAUGGCCGAGUUGGUCCAAGGCGCCAGGUUAAGGUCCUGGUCUCGAAAGGGGCGUGGGUUCGAAUCCCACUCUUAUCA
rnacentral:tRNA from 5 species